UACGAAGGGGACUAGCGUUGUUCGGAAUCACUGGGCGUAAAGCGCACGUAGGCGGAUUUGUAAGUCAGGGGUGAAAUCCCGGGGCUCAACCUCGGAACUGCCUUUGAUACUGCGAAUCUUGAGUCCGAUAGAGGUGGGUGGAAUUCCUAGUGUAGAGGUGAAAUUCGUAGAUAUUAGGAAGAACACCGGUGGCGAAGGCGGCCCACUGGAUCGGUACUGACGCUGAUGAGCGAAAGCCAGGGGAGCAAACGGG
rnacentral:rRNA from 1 species